GGAAAGUAAAAAAUCGUAACAAGGUUUCCGUAGGUGAACCUGCGGAAGGAUCAUUAUUGAAUUUUAAUGAAGAGUUUGGUUGUAGCUGGUCUAUUUAUUUAGGCAUGUGCACACCUCCCUCUUUCAUCCCACACACACCUGUGAACUUGUGAGACAGUUGGGGAAUUUAUUUGUUAUUUUUUGUAAUAAAAUGAUAAUAAGUCAUUGAACCCUUCUGUCUACUCAACUCAUAUAAAAUCAAUUUAUUUUAAAUGAAUGUAAUGGAUGUAACACAUCUCAUACUAAGUUUCAACAACGGAUCUCUUGGCUCUCGCAUCGAUGAAGAACGCAGCGAAAUGCGAUAAGUAAUGUGAAUUGCAGAAUUCAGUGAAUCAUCGAAUCUUUGAACGCACCUUGCGCUCCUUGGUAUUCCUUGGAGCAUGCCUGUUUGAGUAUCAUGAAAUCUUCAAAAUCAAUCUUUUUGUUAACUCAAUUAGUUUGAUUUUGGUAUUGGAGGUCUUUUGCAGCUUCACACCUGCUCCUCUUUGUGUAUUAGCUGGAUCUCAGUGUUAUGCUUGGUUCCACUCAGCGUGAUAAAUUAUCUAUCGCUGAGGACACUGUAAAAAGUGGCCAAGGUAAAUGCAGAUGAACCGCUUCUAAUAGUCCAUUGACUUGGACACUAUUAUUAUGAUCUGAUCUCAAAUCAGGUAGACUACCAAUUUCU
rnacentral:rRNA from 1 species